rnacentral:rRNA from 1 species
UGGGAAUAUUGGACAAUGGGCGAAAGCCUGAUCCAGCAAUGCCGCGUGUGUGAAGAAGGUCUUCGGAUUGUAAAGCACUUUCGACGGGGACGAUGAUGACGGUACCCGUAGAAGAAGCCCCGGCUAACUUCGUGCCAG